GGAGACGUCGCAUAGUCCGGCCUAGUGCACCACCCUGCUAAGAAAAAAAAAGGUGGAGUCCCCUCACGGGGACCGAGGGUUCAAAUCCCUCCGUCUCCG
rnacentral:tRNA from 1 species